rnacentral:misc_RNA from 1 species
GAUGAAGAACGCAGCGAAAUGCGAUAAGUAAUGUGAAUUGCAAAAUUCCGUGAAUCAUUAAAUCUUUGAACGCACCUUGCGCUCUUUGGCAAUCCAGAGAGCAUGUCUGUUUGAGAAUCAGUUUAAAUCUCAUUACCUUUGAUUGUAAAAGAUCCAAGGACAAUGGUUGUGGGUUUUUCAUUCAUAGUGAAAUUCCUUAAAUACAAGUUGCCUGGUGUACAUAACUAUUAAAGUAACCGGAAAGCAUUACCAAUGGACUUGGCAUUGUAUGUCUUUAUGUUCUUGAUUGCUGAUAAAGGUGCUUUUAUGCUAUGAACUCCUAGACAAAUAAACGUUUAAUACGAGAGGGAUUAAAUUUCCUUUCAAGACUUUGAUCUCAAAUCAGACAAGACUACCCGCUGAACUUAAGCAUAUCAAUAAGCGGGA